ACGCGAAAGCCCCCUUCGGGGGGCAAGUAGAGUGGCGCACGGGUGAGUAACACGUAGGUAAUCUACCUUUGGAUGGGGAAUAACCACCGGAAACGGUGGCUAAUACCGCAUAAUGCAGCGGCACCUAAUGGUGACAGUUGUUAAAGCGGGGGAUCGCAAGACCUCGCGUCUGAAGAGGAGCCUGCGGCAGAUUAGCUAGUUGGUAAGGUAAAGGCUUACCAAGGCGAUGAUCUGUAGCCGGCCUGAGAGGGCGGUCGGCCACACUGACACUGACAUACGGGUCAGACUCCUACGGGAGGCAGCAGUCGGGAAUUUUGGGCAAUGGGCGAAAGCCUGACCCAGCAACGCCGCGUGAAGGAUGAAAUCCCUCGGGAUGUAAACUUCGCAAGAACGGGAAGAAUAAGCCGGUGCCAACACCACCGGCGAUGACGGUACUGUUUGUAAGCUCCGGCUAACUCCGUGCCAGCAGCCGCGGUAAUACGGGGGGAGCAAGCGUUG
rnacentral:rRNA from 1 species